rnacentral:misc_RNA from 1 species
GUGAAUCAUCGAAUCUUUGAACGCAUAUUGCGCCCUCUGGUAUUCCGGAGGGCAUGCCUGUCCGAGCGUCAUUUUUGCAUUCAAGCACGGCUUGUGUUGGGCUUUUUGUUCCUUAUGGGACAGGCCUGAAAUGCAGCGGCUGUACCUUAAUCUGGUGCCCGAGUGUAUGGGGCUUUGUCGCACGCUCAGGUGGCCUGGGUUGGUACUUGCCUUUGACCGGAUUUUUAAUCCACCAUUCCAGUUGGCCUCGGAUCAGGUAGGGAUACCCGCUGAACUUAAGCAUAUCAAUAAGCGGAGGA